rnacentral:rRNA from 1 species
UCCGUAGGUGAACCUGCGGAAGGGAUCAUUACACAAAUAUGAAGGCGGGCUGGAACCUCUCGGGGUUACAGCCUUGCUGAAUUAUUCACCCUUGUCUUUUGCGUACUUCUUGUUUCCUUGGUGGGUUCGCCCACCACUAGGACAAACAUAAACCUUUUGUAAUUGCAAUCAGCGUCAGUAACAAAUUAAUAAUUACAACUUUCAACAACGGAUCUCUUGGUUCUGGCAUCGAUGAAGAACGCAGCGAAAUGCGAUAAGUAGUGUGAAUUGCAGAAUUCAGUGAAUCAUCGAAUCUUUGAACGCACAUUGCGCCCUUUGGUAUUCCAAAGGGCAUGCCUGUUCGAGCGUCAUUUGUACCCUCAAGCUUUGCUUGGUGUUGGGCGUCUUGUCUCUAGCUUUGCUGGAGACUCGCCUUAAAGUAAUUGGCAGCCGGCCUACUGGUUUCGGAGCGCAGCACAAGUCGCACUCUCUAUCAGCAAAGGUCUAGCAUCCAUUAAGCCUUUUUUUCAACUUUUGACCUCGGAUCAGGUAGGGAUACCCGCUGAACUUAAGCAUAUCAAUAAGCGGAGGA